GGGGCUGGGCCCAUAGCUCAGUGGUUGAGCAUCUGUUUUACAUGCAGAAGGCCCCAGGUUCAAUUCCUGGCAGCAUCU